UAGGGAAUUUUCCGCAAUGGGCGAAAGCCUGACGGAGCAACGCCGCGUGAGGGAUGAAGGUUUUCGGAUCGUAAACCUCUGUCUUCAGGGACGAUAAUGACGGUACCUGAGGAGGAAGCCACGGCUAACUACGUGCCAGCAGCCGCGGUAAUACGUAGGUGGCAAGCGUUGUCCGGAAUUAUUGGGCGUAAAGGGCGUGUAGGCGGCUUUUUAAGUCAGGCGUGAAAUUUCUGGGCUUAACCCAGAAACUGCGUUUGAAACUGGAUGGCUUGAGGACCGGAGAGGGUAGUGGAAUUCCCAGUGUAGCGGUGAAAUGCGUAGAUAUUGGGAGGAACACCAGUGGCGAAGGCGACUGCCUGGACGGCACCUGACGCUGAGGCGCGAAAGCUAGGGGAGCAAACGGGAUUAGAUACCCCGGUAGUCCUAGCUGUAAACGAUGGGUACUAGGCGUGGGAGGUAUCGACCCCUUCCGUGCCGCAGUUAACACAAU
rnacentral:rRNA from 1 species